AUGUCGUCGUUCGCCGGCGUAACUGUCCUCGACGGACACAACCAGUGCCAUUGCGAAAUGUCGGGCGUCUACGCCAGCGCCGGUGUGGACGCCGGGUACCACCUGCUCAUUGUCAAGGGCUACUCGCGUACCAAAGAGUUCUUCCCCACCGGCGAGAACAUCACCUCUGGUCAUUUUGUAGUAGGAGGCCACGAUUGGUUACUCGAGUACUACCCCAACGGCUUGGACCCGAGCUGCGCCGACUACAUUUCUGUCUAUCUGACCCUUCUCUAUGACUCCGAUGUCAACGAGGAGGACGUGGAGGUGAAGUUCAGUUUCAGUCUCAUCAACCAGGUUGAGAAGCAGAUGCCAACGUACAUUCAUGGAACUAAAACUUACAGCUUCUCCAGUAGUGUUCCAAUGUGGGGCAUCGGCAAGUUCGUGAGAAGACACACCCUUGAACAGUCCCCCGAUCUGAUAUGUGAUUGUUUUACCAUCCGGUGCGACAUCAUGGUUUGCAAGGACCCCAAAACUAAGGAUGAUGCCGGUGGCACCCUGCCUGACAUACACCAGCAUUUUAGCACCAUUGUCGUGGAUUGA
rnacentral:rRNA from 1 species